rnacentral:tRNA from 1 species
GCGGCCAUAGUAUAGCCUGGUUAGUAUUCGGGGUUUCCAACCCUGCCACGCGGGUUCGAAUCCCGCUGGCCGCA